UACGUAGGGGGCUAGCGUUGUCCGGAAUCAUUGGGCGUAAAGCGCGUGUAGGCGGUCCGGUAAGUCCGCUGUGAAAGUCGGGGGCUCAACCCUCGAAUGCCGGUGGAUACUGUCGGGCUAGAGUGCGGAAGAGGCGAGUGGAAUUCCCGGUGUAGCGGUGAAAUGCGCAGAUAUCGGGAGGAACACCUAUGGCGAAGGCAGCUCGCUGGGACGUUACUGACGCUGAGACGCGAAAGCGUGGGGAGCAAACAGG
rnacentral:rRNA from 1 species